CCUACGGGAGGCAGCAGUGAGGAAUAUUGGUCAAUGGGCGGGAGCCUGAACCAGCCAAGUCGCGUGAGGGAAGACGGUCCUAUGGAUUGUAAACCUCUUUAGGCGGGGAGCAAUGCCGGGCACGCGUGCCCGGAGGGAGAGUACCCGCAGAAAAAGCAUCGGCCAACUCCGUGCCAGCAGCGGCGGUAAUCCGGGGUAUGCGAGGUUUAUCCGGAUUUGUUGGGUUUAAAGGGGGCGUAGGCGGCUUUUUAAGUAAGCGGUAAAGUGUCCGGGCUCAACCCGGGCCGGCCGUUGAAACUGGGGGUCUUGAGUGGGCGAGAAGUAUGCGGAAUGCGUGGUGUAGCGGUGAAAUGCAUAGAUAUCACGCAGAACUCCGAUUGCGAAGGCAGCAUACCGGCGCCCGACUGACGCUGAGGCACGAAAGCGUGGGGAUCGAACAGGAUUAGAUACCCGUGUAGUC
rnacentral:rRNA from 1 species